GUGGGGAAUAUUGGGCAAUGGGCGAAAGCCUGACCCAGCAACGCCGCGUGAGGGAAGAAGGUUUUCGGAUUGUAAACCUCUGUCCUAAGGGACGAAGGAAGUGACGGUACCUUAGGAGGAAGCCCCGGCUAACUACGUGCCAGCAGCCGCGGUAAUACGUAGGGGGCGAGCGUUGUCCGGAAUGACUGGGCGUAAAGGGCGUGUAGGCGGCCGAUUAAGUGUGGAGUGAAAGUCCAUUUUUCAAGGAUGGAAUUGCUUUGCAGACUGGUUGGCUUGAGUGCGGAAGAGGUAAGUGGAAUUCCCAGUGUAGCGGUGAAAUGCGUAGAGAUUGGGAGGAACACCAGUGGCGAAGGCGACUUACUGGGCCGUAACUGACGCUGAGGCGCGAAAGCGUGGGGAGCGAACAGGA
rnacentral:rRNA from 1 species